rnacentral:tRNA from 1 species
GGGGAAAUGCCUCAGUUCGUUAGAGUGAUGGUCUGUCACGCCAGAAGUCGCGAGNNNGAACCCCGUUUUCCCCG